GGGUUGUGAGGUUAAGCGACUAAGCGUACACGGUGGAUGCCCUGGCAGUCAGAGGCGAUGAAGGGCGUGCUAAUCUGCGAUAAGCGCCGGUAAGGUGAUAUGAACCGUUAUAACCGGCGAUACCCGAAUGGGGAAACCCAGUGUGAUUCGUCACACUAUCAUUAACUGAAUCCAUAGGUUAAUGAGGCGAACCGGGGGAACUGAAACAUCUAAGUACCCCGAGGAAAAGAAAUCAACCGAGAUUCCCCCAGUAGCGGCGAGCGAACGGGGAGGAGCCCAGAGCCUGAAUCAGCAUGUGUGUUAGUGGAAGCGUCUGGAAAGGCGCGCGAUACAGGGUGACAGCCCCGUACACAAAAGCGCAUGUGCUGUGAGCUCGAUGAGUAGGGCGGGACACGUGGUAUCCUGUCUGAAUAUGGGGGGACCAUCCUCCAAGGCUAAAUACUCCUGACUGACCGAUAGUGAACCAGUACCGUGAGGGAAAGGCGAAAAGAACCCCGGCGAGGGGAGUGAAAAAGAACCUGAAACCGUGUACGUACAAGCAGUGGGAGCACAGGUUUACCUGUGUGACUGCGUACCUUUUGUAUAAUGGGUCAGCGACUUAUAUUCUGUAGCAAGGUUAACCGAAUAGGGGAGCCGGAGGGAAACCGAGUCUUAACCGGGCGUUAAGUUGCAGGGUAUAGACCCGAAACCCGGUGAUCUAGCCAUGGGCAGGUUGAAGGUUGGGUAACACUAACUGGAGGACCGAACCGACUAAUGUUGAAAAAUUAGCGGAUGACCUGUGGCUGGGGGUGAAAGGCCAAUCAAACCGGGAGAUAGCUGGUUCUCCCCGAAAGCUAUUUAGGUAGCGCCUCGUGAAUUCAUCUCCGGGGGUAGAGCACUGUUUCGGCUAGGGGGCCAUCCCGGCUUACCAACCCGAUGCAAACUGCGAAUACCGGAGAAUGUUAUCACGGGAGACACACGGCGGGUGCUAACGUCCGUCGUGAAGAGGGAAACAACCCAGACCGCCAGCUAAGGUCCCAAAGUCAUGGUUAAGUGGGAAACGAUGUGGGAAGGCCCAGACAGCCAGGAUGUUGGCUUAGAAGCAGCCAUCAUUUAAAGAAAGCGUAAUAGCUCACUGGUCGAGUCGGCCUGCGCGGAAGAUGUAACGGGGCUAAACCAUGCACCGAAGCUGCGGCAGCGA
rnacentral:rRNA from 3 species